UACGGAGGGGGCUAGCGUUGUUCGGAAUUACUGGGCGUAAAGCGCGCGUAGGCGGCUUUGUAAGUUAGAGGUGAAAGCCCGAAGCUCAACUUCGGAAUUGCCUUUAAGACUGCAUCGCUAGAAUUAUGGAGAGGUAAGUGGAAUUCCGAGUGUAGAGGUGAAAUUCGUAGAUAUUCGGAAGAACACCAGUGGCGAAGGCGACUUACUGGACACAUAUUGACGCUGAGGUGCGAAAGCGUGGGGAGCAAACAGG
rnacentral:rRNA from 1 species